GCGGGCGUGGCGAAAUUGGUAGACGCAGCAGACUUAAAAUCUGCUUCCUUCUGGAGUGUCGGUUCGAGCCCGACCGCCCGCACCA
rnacentral:tRNA from 1 species